rnacentral:rRNA from 1 species
UGGGGAAUUUUGGACAAUGGGCGAAAGCCUGAUCCAGCAAUGCCGCGUGUGUGAAGAAGGCCUUCGGGUUGUAAAGCACUUUUGUCCGGAAAGAAAUCCUUGGCUCUAAUACAGUCGGGGGAUGACGGUACCGGAAGAAUAAGCACCGGCUAACUACGUGCCAGCAGCCGCGGUAAUACGUAGGGUGCAAGCGUUAAUCGGAAUUACUGGGCGUAAAGCGUGCGCAGGCGGUUUGCUAAGACCGAUGUGAAAUCCCCGGGCUCAACCUGGGAACUGCAUUGGUGACUGGCAGGCUAGAGUAUGGCAGAGGGGGGUAAAUUCCACGUGUAGCAGUGAAAUGCGUAGAGAUGUGGAGGAAUACCCGAUGGCGAAGGAGCCCCCUGGGCCAAGUACUGACGCUCAUGCACGAAAGCGUGGGGAGCAAACAGGAUUAGAUACCCUGGUAGUCCACGCCCUAAA